AGAGUUUGAUCAUGGCUCAGGACGAACGCUGGCGGCGUGCGUAAUACAUGCAAGUAGAACGCUGAAGAGAGGAGCUUGCUCUUCUUGGAUGAGUUGCGAACGGGUGAGUAACGCGUAGGUAACCUGCCUUGUAGCGGGGGAUAACUAUUGGAAACGAUAGCUAAUACCGCAUAACAAUGGAUGACACAUGUCAUUUAUUUGAAAGGGGCAAUUGCUCCACUACAAGAUGGACCUGCGUUGUAUUAGCUAGUAGGUGAGGUAAUGGCUCACCUAGGCGACGAUACAUAGCCGACCUGAGAGGGUGAUCGGCCACACUGGGACUGAGACACGGCCCAGACUCCUACGGGAGGCAGCAGUAGGGAAUCUUCGGCAAUGGGGGCAACCCUGACCGAGCAACGCCGCGUGAGUGAAGAAGGUUUUCGGAUCGUAAAGCUCUGUCUGUAAGUCAAGAACGGGUGUGAGAGUGGAAAGUUCACACUGUGACGGUAGCUUACCAGAAAGGGACGGCUAACUACGUGCCAGCAGCCGCGGUAAUACGUAGGUCCCGAGCGUUGUCCGGAUUUAUUGGGCGUAAAGCGAGCGCAGGCGGUUUGAUAAGUCUGAAGUUAAAGGCUGUGGCUCAACCAUAGUUCGCUUUGGAAACUGUCAAACUUGAGUGCAGAAGGGGAGAGUGGAAUUCCAUGUGUAGCGGUGAAAUGCGUAGAUAUAUGGAGGAACACCGGUGGCGAAAGCGGCUCUCUGGUCUGUAACUGACGCUGAGGCUCGAAAGCGUGGGGAGCGAACAGGAUUAGAUACCCUGGUAGUCCACGCCGUAAACGAUGAGUGCUAGGUGUUGGAUCCUUUCCGGGAUUCAGUGCCGCAGCU
rnacentral:rRNA from 1 species